AGGCAAGUCGGAAGUCGGGGUGGGGACGGUGGCCCCGAGGGGACCUGCGCGGCGGAGUCGGCGGCCUUGCGCUCUUCCGCGAAGCCUCGUUCUGGCUCCGUGAGCGGUAGCCGUGGUUGUUUCCGAAUAAACUAGUGUGACGAGAGUCGUAGACUAACCCCCGUACAGUAGCGCGGAAGCCCAGGGAAGAGUGCGGAACUCGGAGAAGCGGGUGAGAGCAGCGCCCACCCGGAAAGGGUAGCUGCCUUAGUGAAUAAGGCUGGCGCGGCGCACCUGGCGGAGGCGGAGGGCAAUGCAGGGCAGGUGGCUGUGAAGAUAGCAGUGUCUGGGGGCCUGGGUCUGCAGAGGAAGGAGAGCAAACCCAGUUCCCUGUUACUCCAUCUUGUUUGUAAGUACUGGUACGUAUCAUUUUAAGAUAAAAAUAGUCACCUUUUGUAAAGGUUAGGCAACAUGUCCUUUUCUCUUGGUUAAAUCUUCCUGAUUCAAGAUGACUCCCGGGCCUAUUAGCAGGAAAUCAGGCUGCCCUUGGAAAUCAGGGUACUUUGGGAAUAGUGGCAAGCGCUUCAGCUUCUGACAGGGACUCAAGAGUUCGAGGCACCAGAGGGCAGUGUUUGAGAGCAAAGCAGCCAGAACAGCCCCAGCAGGGCCGGGCCCCCAGAUCAGCCCAGCCUGGGGUCAUGAGAAAGUGAGUCAGUGCACAGAGGCCCCAGAGCCCCUCACUGCAGACUAAUCAGUUUCUCUUUCCUGGCUUCAGGCCCCUGCACAGUGAGAUCGCCUUUGAACAUGCCUUGCAGUGCACAAGAUGGAAAUGAUUAGCAAGAAUGGAGCUUCCCCAGUGGCAGGCGCCACACUCUAUACUUGACAUCUGGCCCUCUGGGGCAACAAGCCCUGACCUGAAACACUUGGGGCAGUAUCCGUGUUCUGGGCUUCAGGAUUUUUUCAGAAUUUCAAGAGGUCCCGUCAGGAUUUGCAGGCAGUUAGGGGAAGACUGCUGACGUGCAGAGCUCUUUGCAGAGGAGGGACUGGGGGACUGUCUUUAUGCCAUCCCCAUUUGACGGAUGAGACAGCCAAGGUCCAACAGGUCAAGCGACUGCCCACGGCCACCUGGUGGUGAGUAGCAGGCUGGGCCCUUAACCGUGGUGCUCUGUGAGUGUCCUCUCUGCUGCAGUUGUCUGUCACACCCAGCUCCAUUCUCUGCCCUCUCAGGCUUUCCCUAAAAUCCCACACCCAGCUGACAGCUGUCAUGGUCCAGAGAGCCCUGCUGUACAGUGAUUGGACUCGUCCUCCUUCCGGGACCUUUAGUGUCCAGAGCUGAACCAAUCGAAGAAUUGUUGCAGCAAACAGCCGUUCAUAUACAACCUCAGAUGCCUCUGCUUUGUUUCUGUAGAAUGAAUUCCAAAAGGAGGAGGACUGCCUGGUCAAAGGGUCUAUACAGUUUGGAUUUUAUCACAGGCAAGCAGAUGGUUUUUUUCAUAGCGUUGCAGUCCACAGCCUCAGGAGCCAUGCACCGGAGGGCCUGGUCCUUCCGCAUCCUGCCAGCACAGAAUAUUAGCGCCCUUUGAAUUUGCUGAUCACUGGGUAGUGAAAACAUUUUUUAAAUUAAGUUCCUGGUUAUUUCAAAUCACACUUUCUAAUUCUUAGGGUUUGAGCAUCUUUUCCUCUGUUGACUGUGUUGGUAUUUUUACUUCAUUGAUGGCUUAUUCUAAGUUAGGUUGUCUUUGUCUUAGUUUAUGGGAGCUUUGUAGGUUAUAUUUAUGUGUUAAGAAUACAUUUCUCUGCCAUAUGUGUUUGAAAAUAAAAAAGUUUUCCCCAGACUGCCAGUCUGCCUUGUGACUUCAUGGUAGUUUUGUCACUCCCAUUCGUCCACCUUUUCCUUUGUCACCUUUCUGUUUCCAGCUUUAGGUGUCUUGAUUAAAGUCCUCCCCCUCCAACCAGGAUACACAGUGAACCAAGUUCUCCUACUUUCUCUUGUCCACAUUGAAGUUUCCACCUGUCUUGCAUGUAGAGUGUUUUCGUCCCAGUGGUGAGCCACUGGGUCAACAGGGCUUAUAAACGGCUUGACCUCAGACUUGGGAUCUGUCUUCUGUCCUACAUGCGCACGCUGAGAUCUAUUUCUAGGCUGUCUGUUCUGUUCCAGGGUUGUCUGUCUAUUACUGCAU